UACGGGAGGCAGCAGUGGGGAAUAUUGCACAAUGGGCGAAACCCUGAUGCAGCAUCGCCGCGUGAGUGAUGACGGUCUUCGGAUUGUAAAGCUCUGUCUUUUGGGACGAUAAUGACGGUACCAAAGGAGGAAGCCACGGCUAACUACGUGCCAGCAGCCGCGGUCAUACGUAGGUGGCAAGCGUUGUCCGGAUUUACUGGGCGUAAAGGAUGUGUAGGCGGAUACUUAAGUGAGAUGUGAAAGCCCCGGGCUCAACCUGGGGACUGCAUUUCAAACUGGGUGUCUAGAGUGCAGGAGAGGAAAGCGGAAUUCCUAGUGUAGCGGUGAAAUGCGUAGAGAUUAGGAAGAACAUCAGUGGCGAAGGCGGCUUUCUGGACUGUAACAGACGCUAAGGCAUGAAAG
rnacentral:rRNA from 1 species